GAUGAACGCUAGCGGCGUGCCUAAUGCAUGCAAGUCGAACGGGAUCCUUGGAUUCGUCUGAGGUGAGAGUGGCGAACGGGUGAGUAACACGUUGGUGACCUGCCUUAGAGAGGGGGAUAACUAUUGGAAACGAUGGCUAAUACCCCAGAUGUCAAGGCUUUUAGAAAACCUUGACUAAAGCUUCGGCGCUCUAAGAGGGGCCUGCGGCCCAUCAGCUAGUUGGUGAGGUAAUGGCUCACCAAGGCUAAGACGGGUAGGGGGCGUGAGAGCGUGACCCCCCACACUGGUACUGAGACACGGACCAGAUACCUGCGGGUAGCAGCAGCAAGGAAUAUUGCGCAAUCGACGAAAGUCGGACGCAGCAACGCCGCGUGAAGGAUGAAGGCCUUCGGGUUGUAAACUUCUUUUCUGGGGGAAGAGAAAGGACGGUACCCCAGGAAUAAGUCUCGGCUAACUACGUG
rnacentral:rRNA from 1 species